UCGGGAUGGCCGGGCAGUGAUAGUUGUUCCUUUCCAUCACUCGUUGUGUUGACUUCAUCAUGUCCAUUUUGUGAUGUUUUUUCACUAUAUAAUCAUAUUGCAAGUGCACGUGCAUUUGCAAUAUGUUUCAAUGUGCAUUUACCAUAUGAAAUUUGACCUUGCUCAAAAAUGCAAAAUUGACUGGUCUGAUGAACACAGGAUGGCCGAGCAGUGAUAGUUGUACAUUUCCAUCACUCGUUGUGUUGAUUUCAUCAUCUCCGUUAGGUGAUGUUUUUUCACUAUAGAAUCAUAUUGCAAAUGCACGUGCAUUGUUGUGCAACUGGUAACCCAAAAAUAAAAAUAUGGUUGUAAAUGCAUUUACCGGUCAUUCUGAUAUUAAUGCUCACUAUGGGAACACAGGAUGGCCGGGCAGUGAUAGUUGUACAUUUCCAUCACUCGUUGUGUUGAUUUCAUCAUGUCCAUUAGGUGAUGUUUUUACACUAUAGAAUCAUAUUGCAAGUGCGCGCGCAUUUGCAAUAUGUUUCAAUGUGCAUUUACCAUAUGAAAUUUGACAUGCUCAAAAAUGCAAAAUUGACUGGUCUGAUGAACACAGGAUGGCUGAGCAGUGAUAGUUGUACAUUUCCAUCACUCGUUGUGUUGAUUUCAUCAUGUCCAUUUGUUUAUGUUUUCUCACUUUUGCAAAGUCACUGUGCAUUUGCAAUAUGGUUCAAUGGGCAGGUACCAUCACGAAUUUGUCAUGCUAUAAA